rnacentral:rRNA from 1 species
CCUACGGGGGGCUGCAGUGGGGGAUAUUGCACAAUGGAGGAAACUCUGAUGCAGCAACGCCGCGUGAGGGAAGAAGGUCUUCGGAUUGUAAACCUCUGUCCUCAGGGACGAUAAUGACGGUACCUGAGGAGGAAGCUCCGGCUAACUACGUGCCAGCAGCCGCGGUAAUACGUAGGGAGCAAGCGUUGUCCGGAUUUACUGGGUGUAAAGGGUGCGUAGGCGGCCCUGCAAGUCAGGUGUGAAAACUAUCGGCUUAACUGGGAGGGUGCACUGAAAACUGCGAGGCUAGAGUGCGGUAGAGGAGGGCGGAAUUCCUGGUGUAGCGGUGAAAUGCGUAGAUAUCAGGAGGAACACCUGCGGUGUAGACGGUUCUCUGGACCGCUACUGACACUGAGAUACGAAAGCGUGGGGAGCAAACAGGAUUAGAUACCCUUGUAGUC